rnacentral:lncRNA from 1 species
CAUGAUUUAGGCAGAACCUACAGUGCACAUAAACAAAUGCACUGAAAGGUCAUUGGCAGCAAUGGGAAACAGUGAUGGAUUUUACAAGAUUCAACCAACUGACUUUUUAUGAAAAUUUCAGUUUCCUGCCUUGGAUUCUAUCUAAACUGACAAAAACACACAUUUAAAUUUCUCAAAUUUCUCAUGGGAUGUUCACUUGUGUAGAGUGUCUGGCAAGGAUUUCUGAUAAAUCAAUCUGUCAGGUGCCAUACUUUUAAUAUUUAUGAGGAAAGCUGCCAGGCUGGACAAAACACAUGCUAAUGUUUUCUCUUCACACAAAAGAUCAGAGCUGUGCAUACAAAAAUGCACUGCUUAAUUGCACAAAGUACACCGUAGUAUUUUAGCAGAAGAUUAUUUAAAGAUGGAUGGGAAAAGCCAAAACAAUAAGCUGGUGAAAUUACCCAUUCCUAAAUGUUGACAUUAUUAGUUCUAGCAAUAGAGCUGCACAAUCAUUAGAACGUAUUUUACCCAAUCAUCUGUGUCAUGUAGAAAAGACCUGGUCUUAAAGGCCCAGCAAUUUUCUUGUAACAUUGAGCACCACUGACCUCUGGCCUUCAGCAAUGCCCUCCCAACACCUGCACUCCGGUGAGCCAGAACAAAACAUGCCAUUCA